UUGCAAGCCUCCAGCGUGCUUGGGUCUGCUGUGACUCCUGCAUUCCUACAGUGCUUGCCAGAACAGUUUGAGAUGGUUUGAGGCCUUGCCCUGUUCCAUCCAGAGCAAGGUUAUAGAAAUUUCAAACAGUU